UACGAAGGGGGGCUAGCGUUGCUCGGAAUCACUGGGCGUAAAGGGUGCGUAGGCGGGUUUUUAAGUCAGAGGUGAAAUCCUGGAGCUCAACUCCAGAACUGCCUUUGAUACUGGGAAUCUUGAGUAUGGAAGAGGUGAGUGGAACUGCGAGUGUAGAGGUGAAAUUCGUAGAUAUUCGCAAGAACACCAGUGGCGAAGGCGGCUCACUGGUCCAUAACUGACGCUGAGGCACGAAAAGCGUGGGGGAGCAAACAGG
rnacentral:rRNA from 1 species